ACGUAAUAGAUACCCAGGUAGUCCACGCCCUAAACGAUGUCUACUAGUUGUUGGUGGAGUAAAAUCCAUGAGUAAACGCAGCUAAACGCGCGAAGUAGACCGCCUGGGGAGUACGGUCGCAAGAUUAAAACUCAAAGGAAUUGACGGGGGCCCGGCACAAGCGGUGGAUUAUGUGGAUUAAAUUCGAUGCAACGCGAAAAACCUUAACCUGGCCGUUGACAUGCCACUAACGAAGCAGAGAUGCAUUAGGUGCCCGUAACGGGAAAGUGGACACAGGUGCUGCAUGGCUGUCGUCAGCUCGUGUCGUGAGAUGUUGGG
rnacentral:rRNA from 1 species